rnacentral:misc_RNA from 1 species
GCAGCAGAAAAGUCCACCCUUUCUUGUGUUUAUCAAAUUCCAAACACAACGGAACACUACUAGACUUUUCCCUCCCCCGCCUAGAUAUUUUUGCCGGCGCUUCAAUCGGCGGCGAUAACUGUGACCCUCAAAACACAACCAGUUACUCCAUGAUCCCGCUAGCCGCCGCAGAGAAAAAGGAUCCCGGCGGAAUUGGGUUCAUAGACGAAGUUGGAGGGAGUGUUGAUGGAUUAAUGUCUUGUACAGAGAGUCUCGGUUUCGAGAGUUGUGAUGAGAGGACAAUAGAUGAUCAAAUUGAGGAUCUAGGUUAUCGUGAUGAAUUAGCUUUGUAUUCUAGGCAAUCAAGUUGUAGCCAUAGUAAUACUUCAAGGUGCUGGCAAAGAAGUAAUUUGGGGGAGAAGAAAGAGAAGAAGGAGUUUCCACCACCAUUGUCGUCGUUAAGUCAAGAUGGCAAACCCAAUUUCUUCAUGCGUGCGGUGAGGAAAGAUGGACGGUUAGAAUUGACAGAGGUGAAAAUUGAUCGACCCGAAACCCUCCGUGCUUCCCGCCAAGAUGGACGGUUGAGAUUGCAUCUAAUUCGCGAUCUCGAAGAAGAAGCAGAGGAGGAAAACGAAGAUGAAACAGAGGAUGAAGAUGAAGAAGUAAUUGAAACAGAUGACGAAAUAAUUGAAGAAGAAGAGUGGAAGUUCCCGGUGUCAGGAAGUGGAAUCGGAGAUGGUCAUCGGAGAUGUUACGACGGUCAUGGUAAUAACCACCACCACGAUUUACAUUUGUGGAGGCAACGGUGUGUGACAACUAGGUGAAUUUUCAUUGAAGUAGGGACAAAGCCAUCUGAAUCUGUUUCUCGUUCAACUACAUACUCUGCCAUUUGAAAGGGAAUCCCAAAAAAAGAGUGGAAGAUGAUGACGACCCAAUGAAGUUGGAAUUAAGAAUCUGCCGGCGGCCGCCACUGAAAAAGCAUUGGGAUUCUGUUUUGCAUCAGAGAAGAAUCAGUUACCUAAAUUUCCGAAAAGACGUACAGUACAGUACAGUACAGUCCCUACAUAGUAUAGAGAAAUUUUUU